rnacentral:rRNA from 1 species
UGAGGAAUAUUGGUCAAUGGGCGGGAGCCUGAACCAGCCAAGCCGCGUGAGGGAAGAAGGCCCUAUGGGUCGUAAACCUCUUUUGUCAGGGAACAAAAGCGAGUAUGUAUACUAGUCUGAGUGUACCUGAAGAAAAAGCAUCGGCUAACUCCGUGCCGGCAGCCGCGGUAAUACGGAGGAUGCGAGCGUUAUCCGGAUUUAUUGGGUUUAAAGGGUGCGUAGGCGGCGAUGCAAGUCAGCGGUAAAAGCCCGGGGCUCAACCCCGGCGAGCCGUUGAAACUGCAGUGCUAGAGAAGGCGAGAGGUACGCGGAAUGCGCAGUGUAGCGGUGAAAUGCUUAGAUAUUGCGCAGAACUCCGAUUGCGAAGGCAGCGUACUGGCGCCUGACUGACGCUGAGGCACGAAAGCGUGGGGAUCGAACAGGAUUAGAUACCC